ACUAUUUUUUCACCAAGAUAGCUACAUUAUCAGGGAGCAACUUAGGUUAUUAUUUAUUCCUAAAAAGCUUAGUUUAAAAACGUUAUGAUGGAAAACAGUAAAUGUCAUGUAAUUUCUCCAUUAAAUGAUUAAAUAUAAAACCCAUUGUUACAAAAAUUAUGUGCCUAACAACAGCAAUAUUAAAAGUAAUCAUAAUGAAAAUUUUGAAUCAAGGCUUCUCCGGAGCAAACAUAAGUUUAAAAAAGUCAUUUGGAAACUCUACUUUUUUCUACUUUAUUUCAAACAUUUGGAAACUCUACUUUUUGCACACUUAGAGAAACAGCGCCGACUUAUAUAACGCAAUUCUCUAUGAACUGCACAACUUUUCAGAAGUAAACAAUAAGUUUUUAAGUUUAAAAAAUUCCUUUGUUUUGCCUUGCUAACAUAAAAAUUGUUAGGAAAAUUAAAUUUUGAAACAGUUUUUCAUCUUUCCAGCUUAAUUCAAAGCUUUUAAAUGAAAAUUAAUAUUCACAGUAAAGAGUAAAUAUCAGAUGGCUCUUGAAAAUGCAGCUGUUAAUGCAAAACAUGAAGCUGACAGAAGUGCAGGAUAAUUCACUUCCUUUUAAUGAGAUUGUGAAUGGAGAUUACAAAUAAGAAUGCCUGUAGUGAUGACCAUUCUUUACAUGCUGUGGAGGAAGUUCUGCUGAUGAUUACGCUAUUUCUAAUUAAGUGGCGCUGUUAAUUUAAAACUGACUUGGAGAAAAAGAAAAAAAGUGAUGUAGAUGCCAGCUAUUAAAGAAGACUAUUCUGUAGUUAUGAUUGACUCUAUUUGUACCUUUGACUCUUAUUUGUAGUAAAAAAAUUUGAACUAAG